UACGUAGGUGGCAAGCGUUGUCCGGAAUUAUUGGGCGUAAAGCGCGCGCAGGUGGUCCUUUAAGUCUGAUGUGAAAGCCCACGGCUCAACCGUGGAGGGUCAUUGGAAACUGGGGGACUUGAGUGCAGGAGAGAAAAGUGGAAUUCCACGUGUAGCGGUGAAAUGCGUAGAGAUGUGGAGGAACACCAGUGGCGAAGGCGAGUCCCUGGACAACUCCUGACACUGAGGCACGAAAGCUAGGGGAGCAAACAGG
rnacentral:rRNA from 1 species